UCUCUCUCUCUCUCUCUCUCUCUCUCUCUCUCUACGUCGUUGGAGGAUGUCGGAGAUCCGGUGCUCUCGCUCUAACCCUCUCUCUGCCUUCCCAUCUCCGAUCUCUCUCUCUCUCCCUCUCUCUCCUCAGGCACCAAUCUUCCCCCAAGAUUACUUUCUUCCAUUUUCUUCAAAUCAUCUCAAUCCAAUCAAACUUUCCAUAUUCUUCCUUUUCCUUCGAUUCCCUGAUUGACCCUGUGUUUCGAUUCGGCGAUUUCAGGGCAUUUCUUUUGUGGGUUUGGUUGUUCAACCAGGGAAGAGCAGAGGCAGAGAGAGGAUUUUGAGGGAGUUUUUUGGGUGUGACUUCGCAGAAACUUAUGCCGGUAUGCGAUAACCUAUGCUUCUUUUGCCCUGUGAUACGUCCCCGAUCGCGUCAGCCCAUUAAGCGCUACAAGAAGUUGCUGGAUGAUGUCUUUCCUCGGUCCUCGGUAGGUUUGUUGAUUUAUCGUUUUCUUAUGGUAUUUAUGACUUCUCAUGAGAUGUUUUUAUUUGAAUGAGAAUUGAUUUCACCAGCAAUAUGUAGUUUGUUACCACACCUUGAAUAAAUCUCAGGUACAUAUGGAUUUUUCCGUAUAUUUUUCUUUGUAAUUUUUCUAUGUAGUAUGUACGUAGUAUUUUUCUGUAUUUUUUGUACAUAUGUUCCCAUUUUCUCUUCUUCCAUUUCUUUUGCGGAAAGAACACUGAAGGUCAUGUGCCUAACUUAUUAAAAGUUUGUUCGAGAUUGGCUUGUUACAUACAUAAAUCAAGUUUAAGCAUAUUUUUCAAGCUUGAGCAUUCUAUUACUCAGUUUGAUAAAUUUAUCUUAUUUAGAAAUUUUAAAUUACUUGUGUUUGACUCGAUUAAAGUUUGUUUGAGCUUAAUCCGUUUAUAAACAAAUUAAGCUCAAACAUAUUUUUAAAAUUCGUUAAGUUUUCAAAUUAAACUUCACAACUGACCCUACAUUUCAUCAAUUUAGUUGGCAAAAUGGGAAUCUCUAAAAUUUCAGCUAAAAUUGGGUGGAAACUCGGCCAUAAUAUUUGAGAUUUAUUUAAAAUUUAACUUUCUAAAUUCAACUACAAGUCAAUUUCUUAACAAAAGAACCUAAUUUCCAAAAUAGGAUAAAUGGGCCAAUAUUAUGAUUAGCUCAUUCGCUAAUUAGACGAUUAAAUACAUUUUGUAGUAAAAUAACUAACAAAAAUAUUUUCAAAAUAGGAUUUUUAAUUGGUUCACUCAAAUCUACUUUCUUUUGAGGUUGUUAAUCUAUAAGCUACGUGCUCUUGAUUAGGCUGUUUCCUAACUUGUUCUUCCUACAAUUAGUAGGACACCAUUAAUUUUUUUCGAUCGGGUUGUCAAGAAAACACAAAAAUAUUUCAACCAGUGAUGAUAAAAUGGAAUUAUAAAAUGGAUCUCAGAACGAUUUUGAGUGAGAAAGUUGUAUUACUACGGUUCUUUGACGUGAGACUUUUUAUAGGUGAUUUGCAUUGAAUCAUAAUCCAGUGCCAAAUAACUGAACCAACUCCUCCUCUCUCCCUCUCUGGGAUUCCCUGUGAGGAUUUUAUUGGCAGACGCGAAAUUACGUUCGGAAGACCAUAAGAAAAGGAUAAAUGUAGACGAAUGUUUGGUAUAAUAGAAGGAUAAUGCAAGAAUGGUUGGGGUCUUAAAAAGCAUGUAUAUUUAUUUUUUUUUUUUUGCACCUAAAUAUUUGGGGGCCCGUGGCUCCUGCCGCCCCUGAUUACGAUCAGAUUGCCUGGGAGAAUUCCGUUACCUCACAGAACCAAAUCAAAUUUCUCAAUGAUUAAUCCUUGAAUAUUUUGAUUUACCAUUUAAUUGCCUUGUGCUUGACUCUCCCUCUUGUAGCAUCCGCUAGUAUACUAAUACAUUACACUGUAUAGAUGUACGUACAACAAACAUAUAACUGCCUGUCACUAUGUAAUACCUUGAUAAAUAUAUUGAUAUAUGCUUAAAUCUUAAUCAUUCUUAAACUAUUCUAAAUUUUGUUUACUUGGCUCCUCAACUACCAAGUGCACCUAUUUUUAUAUCUCCACUAAUUCGAUUAAAGCUGAUCUGGUCAAAUUGCCAACUCAUCGUCGGGACAGCAUUUGUAGCAGACCAAGUAUGAUUUGCCUUGAUCUUGCACACAUAGGUGUAUGCAGGCAUUGGAAGAUGCCAAAAGCUGCUCCAUUUGCUGCCCCAUGUCCUUCGCUCAGCCAAGGUUGCUAUCGGUCCACAAUGUCCUCAAAACGGCGACCAUCCCACGGAACAAUCUGUGCAUCCAUGGCUUUUUUUUUUUUUUCAUAUAUAUAAAUCACAAUUUAUUUUGAAUUUUAAAAUUAUCUUUUGUUAUUUACGGUUGAAAUUCAUUUAAAUUAAUCCAAUAUCUGAUAUUUCACCUGAGAUUAUUUUUUUCCGCCUAAAAUUAUCACUUUCUUAUUUUCAAAUGUGUGAGGCCCAUAUAGGUUCUUAUCUAAUGGUUCUUUAAAAU
rnacentral:lncRNA from 1 species